rnacentral:lncRNA from 1 species
UUAAAACAUAAUCUCGAUCAUUGUUCCACAUUAUUCUUCUGGUGUCAAGAAGAUGCAUCUCUAUCUACCAAAUCCGUAAUCAAGGCCACACAAAGUCUGCAAUAAUGCCAGUUUCUUUAGUAAUGAUGAUGCAUUAACGUUCUUUAAUCUUCCAAACAGUUGUAUACAUGCAAGAGUUUCAAAAAAACCAUCAAUAUUACAUUGUUUCUAUGUUCAAAGAAUUUUAAAACCUCCUGCGUCGAUAAGCAGCAGCAAUUACAAUUAUCCUUCAUGUCAAUUAGGCCUCUCGCACCAAGAUGAUGCUCCCUCUGUUCAUUGGAUCUUCAACUCAUGACGUGAGAAGGAUGUCUUUAUGCAGCAACUGGAAUUAGAAAAAGAAGAAGCUGAAAUGGUGAGAUGCAGUCCCUCCAAGGAGUGCUGGAUGGGGUAUGAUAUCUUGGCUUUGCAGUGAAGAUGACAGGAUCUGAAGCGAGAGCCAUGCAAGGCACAGCUGCAGUUGCGAUGGUACGGCCUCUGUCGGAUUUCUGAAUCGAAGGCUCGUAUACAGCCUUCAAGAGCACACCGGAUCCAUCCCUGAGCUCCAGUGGCCAUUAAUCUCCCCUCUGGUAGAUUGAAUCCGCCCAGCUCCUUGCUUGG